rnacentral:lncRNA from 1 species
ACGUGAUACAGCAUAGAAAUGUCAAGUAUCAUUGUACACUUAUCUAGAGUGCUGAGGCAGACGAUGGAAAUAGACUCCUGUGUUUGAUCAGCAUGAUGUAACCUUAGGCAGGACUCUCUACUGCUCCUGCUUGUGUGCUCUCUCUCUCUCUCUCUCCCUCUCUCUCUCUCUGUCUCUCUCUCUCUCUCUCCCUCUUUCUCUCUCUCUCUCCCUCUCUCUCUUUCCCUCCUCUCUCCUCUUUGUCUCUGUCUCUGUCUCUCUCUCUCUCUGUCUCUGUCUCUCUCUCUCUCCCCUCCUAUUUCUCUCUCUCUCUCUGCCUCUGUCUCUGUCUUUUUGUCUCUGUCUAUCUUUCUAUCUCUGUCCCUCUCUCUGGCUCUCUUUCUUUCCCUUCCUGUCCUUCUCUCUGUCUCUGUCUCUAUCUCUUUCUCUCCCUCGUUGUCCCUCUCUCUGUCUCUAUCUCUGUCCUUUUCUCUGUCUUUAUCUUUCUGUCCAUCUCUGUCUCUCUAUCUCUUUCUCUGUCUCUCUGUCUCUAUCUCUGUCUGUCUGUCUCUCUGUCUCUCUCUGCCUCUGUCUCUGCCUCUCUAUCUCUCUCUGUCUCUCUCUCUCUCUCCCUCUCUCUCUCUCUCUCCCUCUCUCUCUUUCCCUCCUCUCUCCUCUUUGUCUCUGUCUCUGUCUCUCUCUCUCUCUCCCCCCCCCCCAUUUCUCUCUCUCUCUGCCUCUGUCUCUGUCUUUUUGUCUCUGUCUAUCUUUCUAUCUCUGUCCCUCUCUCUGGCUCUCUUUCUUUCCCUUCCUGUCCUUCUCUCUGUCUCUGUCUCUAUCUCUUUCUCUCCCUCGUUGUCCCUCUCUCUGUCUCUAUCUCUGUCCUUUUCUCUGUCUUUAUCUUUCUGUCCAUCUCUGUCUCUCUAUCUCUUUCUCUGUCUCUCUGUCUCUAUCUCUGUCUGUCUGUCUAUCUGUCUCUCCAGCUUAUCUCAUUUGUUGAAUUCUCUAAAGACCUAGUAAGGAUCAUAAACCUCUUGGGGGUAGCCCAGAGAGUCUCACUCAUAUUGUAAGCACAGGCAUUUUGUGGUAAGGAUAGAAAGAUCUAGUUGAGAAGUUUGAAGGCCUGGGUUCAAGUCCAAUGUGUUCUCUGAGAAGUCAUUUAAAGCCUCUUGAGUCAGACAACGGUGUAUAAUGGAAAGAUUAUUCUUUUUGAAGUCAAG